rnacentral:rRNA from 1 species
UUAAGUUAUUAAGGGCGCACGGUGGAUGCCUUGGCACUAGAAGCCGAUGAAGGACGUUACUAACGACGAUAUGCUUUGGGGAGCUGUAAGUAAGCUUUGAUCCAGAGAUUUCCGAAUGGGGAAACCCAGCAUGAGUUAUGUCAUGUUAUCGAUAUGUGAAUACAUAGCAUAUCAGAAGGCACACCCGGAGAACUGAAACAUCUUAGUACCCGGAGGAAGAGAAAGAAAAUUCGAUUCCCUUAGUAGCGGCGAGCGAAACGGGAAGAGCCCAAACCAACAAGCUUGCUUGUUGGGGUUGUAGGACACUCUAUACGGAGUUACAAAGGACGACAUUAGACGAAUCAUCUGGAAAGAUGAAUCAAAGAAGGUAAUAAUCCUGUAGUCGAAAAUGUUGUCUCUCUUGAGUGGAUCCUGAGUACGACGGAGCACGUGAAAUUCCGUCGGAAUCUGGGAGGACCAUCUCCUAAGGCUAAAUACUCUCUAGUGACCGAUAGUGAACCAGUACCGUGAGGGAAAGGUGAAAAGCACCCCGGAAGGGGAGUGAAAUAGAACCUGAAACCGUGUGCUUACAAGUAGUCAGAGCCCGUUAAUGGGUGAUGGCGUGCCUUUUGUAGAAUGAACCGGCGAGUUACGAUUUGAUGCAAGGUUAAGCAGUAAAUGUGGAGCCGUAGCGAAAGCGAGUCUGAAUAGGGCGUUUAGUAUUUGGUCGUAGACCCGAAACCAGGUGAUCUACCCUUGGUCAGGUUGAAGUUCAGGUAACACUGAAUGGAGGACCGAACCGACUUACGUUGAAAAGUGAGCGGAUGAACUGAGGGUAGCGGAGAAAUUCCAAUCGAACCUGGAGAUAGCUGGUUCUCUCCGAAAUAGCUUUAGGGCUAGCCUCAAGUGAUGAUUAUUGGAGGUAGAGCACUGUUUGGACGAGGGGCCCCUCUCGGGUUACCGAAUUCAGACAAACUCCGAAUGCCAAUUAAUUUAACUUGGGAGUCAGAACAUGGGUGAUAAGGUCCGUGUUCGAAAGGGAAACAGCCCAGACCACCAGCUAAGGUCCCAAAAUAUAUGUUAAGUGGAAAAGGAUGUGGCGUUGCCCAGACAACUAGGAUGUUGGCUUAGAAGCAGCCAUCAUUUAAAGAGUGCGUAAUAGCUCACUAGUCGAGUGACACUGCGCCGAAAAUGUACCGGGGCUAAACAUAUUACCGAAGCUGUGGAUUGUCCUUUGGACAAUGGUAGGAGAGCGUUCUAAGGGCGUUGAAGCAUGAUCGUAAGG